rnacentral:rRNA from 1 species
GACGAACGCUGGCGGCGUGCUUAACACAUGCAAGUCGUACGGUAAGGCCCUUUCGGGGGGACACGAGUGGCGAACGGGUGAGUAACACGUGAGUAACCUGCCCACAACUUUGGGAUAACGCUAGGAAACUGGUGCUAAUACUGGAUAUGUGCUCCUGCUGCCUGGUGGGGGUUGGAAAGCUCCGGCGGUUGUGGAUGGACUCGCGGCCUAUCAGCUUGUUGGUGGGGUAGUGGCCUACCAAGGCGGCGACGGGUAGCCGGCCUGAGAGGGUGACCGGCCACAUUGGGACUGAGAUACGGCCCAGACUCCUACGGGAGGCAGCAGUGGGGAAUAUUGCACAAUGGGCGCAAGCCUGAUGCAGCAACGCCGCGUGCGGGAUAACGGCCUUCGGGUUGGAAACCGCUUUCAGCAGGGACGAAGCUUUUUGUGACGGUACCUGCAGAAGAAGCACCGGCUAACUACGUG